GAAUCUUUCUUACUUUAAGAGAAAAAUUUGGGACUUGGCUGCAGGGAUUUGCUGAACUCGAAUAUGGCAUGCUGCAGUAUAUGGGAGCCAUUGACGAGUCAACACCAGUGGUCACCUCAGGCAUGUACAGUCACCUAUUUUCACUGAAGUUAGAAAUUUUAACAAACAACUAUUUCCCUUUUAAAAUUAUUAGGGCAUACACGAGUGCUCAAAGUUGAACUUGCAACAGUGAGCCUGUGGUUUCUGUUGGAAAUGAUUUUGGCACAAGUGAAUAUCUUGAUUUUUGUCAUGAGUUGAACAUUCUCAAACCACAUGAGAAUAAUUUGAAUUCUAACUUAUUGAAACAUUUAGAAAUAUCUGCAACUCUCUAGCACUCAAAUUCAUUGAAAACUGAAUGACUCUCACUGGAUGUCAUGUUUGUACUGCAGAUGCUCAUGUCAUAUGUGUAGAUUGUUGAACUAUUGCUGAUGUGUUAUCUGUUGGAUUUUUCUUUAUUUCUUGAUGCUUGUGCCAAUAGAUGAUCUAAGGUGAUUGGCCUUGUGAACCUCCUUGAAUGUUACCUGUCAUCUGUACUAAUCGAAUUAUACGUACUGCUGUUUUAUCUCUGGUAUUUUUGUUAACAAUAAUGAAGUGUCAUCUUAAGACAAAUCAAAGAUCGUGAAUUGUGAAUUGCAGGUCCAAAAACAUGACAUGUUAUUUUUGGCUUCCAAUUAUUAUAAAUUUAGUCUUUUUCUGACUUUUGCUUCUAU
rnacentral:lncRNA from 1 species